ACUGGAAUUGAUGGGACUUAUGUGUAUGUUUAAUUUUACAAGAAAUUGCAAAAUUAUUUUCCAAAGUAGCUAUAUCAUUUUGAAUCUCCAAUACCAGU
rnacentral:pre_miRNA from 1 species